GCAAGUCGAGCGCCCACUUCGGUGGGAGCGGCAGACGGGUGAGUAACGCGUGGGAACGUGCCCUUCGGUACGGAAUAGCCCUGGGAAACUGGGUGUAAUACCGUAUACGACCUCCGGGUGAAAGAUUUAUCGCCGAAGGAUCGGCCCGCGUUAGAUUAGCUAGAUGGUGGGGUAAAGGCCUACCAUGGCGACGAUCUAUAGCUGGUUUGAGAGGACGACCAGCCACACUGGGACUGAGACACGGCCCANACUCCUACGGGAGGCAGCAGUGGGGAAUAUUGGACAAUGGGGGAAACCCUGAUCCAGCCAUGCCGCGUGGAUGAAGAAGGCCCUAGGGUUGUAAAAUCCUUUCGCUANGGAAGAUAAUGACGGUACCUAGUANAGAAGCCCCGGCUAAUUUCGUGCCAGCAGCCGCGGUAAUACGAAAGGGGCUAGCGUUGUUCGGAAUUACUGGGCGUAAAGCGCGCCGUANGCNGCAUGCCCAGUUAAAAGUGAAAUCCCGGAGCUCAACUCCCGGAAC
rnacentral:rRNA from 1 species